GUAUGUCGUAGUCCGGAUUGGAGUCUGCAACUCGACUCCAUGAAGUCGGAAUCGCUAGUAAUCGUAGAUCAGAAUGCUACGGUGAAUACGUUCCCGGGCCUUGUACACACCGCCCGUCACACCAUGGGAGUGGGUUGCAAAAGAAGUAGGUAGCUUAACCUUCGGGAGGGCGCUUACCACUUUGUGAUUCAUGACUGGGGUGAAGUCGUAACAAGGUAGCCGUAGGGGAACCUGCGGCUGGAUCACCUCCUUACCUUAAAGAA
rnacentral:rRNA from 1 species